GCAGUGGUGGCUCAGGGGUAGAGUUCUUGCCUUCAGUGCAGGAGACCUGGGUUCAAUCCCCGGCCAGCGCA